GACGAACGCUGGCGGCGUGCUUAACACAUGCAAGUCGAACGGUGAAGGGACCGGUUUUUGCUGGUUCUGGAUGAGUGGCGAACGGGUGAGUAACACGUGAGUAACCUGCCCCCUUCUUCUGGAUAACCGCAUGAAAGUGUGGCUAAUACGGGAUAUUCUGCGCCUGCUGCAUGGUGGGUGUGGGAAAGAUAUUGUUUCGGUGGGGGAUGGGCUCGCGGCCUAUCAGCUUGUUGGUGGGGUGAUGGCCUACCUAGGCGGUGACGGGUAGCCGGCCUGAGAGGGUGGACGGUCACACUGGGACUGAGACACGGCCCAGACUCCUACGGGAGGCAGCAGUGGGGAAUAUUGCACAAUGGGCGCAAGCCUGAUGCAGCGACGCCGCGUGAGGGAUGGAGGCCUUCGGGUUGUAAACCUCUUUCGCCAGUGAAGCAGGCCUGUCCCUUUUGUGGGUGGGUUGACGGUAGCUGGAUAAGAAGCGCCGGCUAACUACGUG
rnacentral:rRNA from 1 species